rnacentral:rRNA from 1 species
UGGCGACCGGCGCACGGGUGAGUAACGCGUAUCCAACCUGCCCUUUACUAUGGGACAGCCCGUCGAAAGGCGGAUUAAUACCGUAUGUUGUCAUGUUGAUGCAUAUUUUCAUGACCAAAGGCUUCGGCCGGUAAAGGAUGGGGAUGCGUCUGAUUAGCUUGCCAGCGGGGUAACGGCCCACCGGGGCGACGAUCAGUAGGGGUUCUGAGAGGAAGGUCCCCCACAUUGGAACUGAGACACGGUCCAAACUCCUACGGAAGGCAGCAG